rnacentral:lncRNA from 1 species
UACCACAGCACAACAAAGAGCACCUGUAAAAUCAAAAGAGCCAAAAUUAAACCACUGUUGACAGGGAUGUGAGGAUAGGAUACUUGUGGAAUAGAGAAGACGCUAAUGGUAUCCACUGCACCGACCCUGUGGCAACCGGCAGGCCCGGAGAGCCGGCAAAAUUUGCCGGACUUCGAGUAGGAGGGGAGGGGAAGGUAACUGUUGAGCCAAGCAGGAAAUACCUCAAUAACUGUAAGAAUCCACGGACCAGUGGAUAUGUACGCGCGAGCAGUCCUGCCGACGGCGAUAACCGCGUGGCACUGACGGCACGGGCGACAAGACAAGGCACGAAGCAGCCGGGAAACCCCAGGCGGCCAAUCGCCGGAAGAAGAGUGCCAAUAAUAGUAAAGCGUGACGACGACGGGUGCCAUUGACAGCGCGGGCUCGAGCGGCCACCAAGAAUCAAGAAAUCAGGGCCACUCAUCGACGGAGAUAUUAUGCUACAGGAAUCUGCGCACAGCUAGGAGCCGAUGACUCAGGAGGCCGGAGACAUGACGAGCACGGAGUUGUGGGUGAGCGACCCCGUCGGCGGCACGGUGAGCGACACCGUCGACGAACUAGUUGCGGUGCUCGCGCAAAGAUAGUCGACAGAGAACGAGAAUGCAGUGCUCGCGCCAUGGUAUCGUCAGUGCAGUGGACGACAGAGGAGGCCGAGAUGAUCGACGCUGGAAAUGACUCCAGUGUAGUAGGGCAAGAGAGAGGAGACCAAAAUGAUCGACCCCGUCGGCGGCGCGGCGAACUGCAGUGUGCGCCCCAUUGCAACGUCAGUGUAGUAGGAGGACGACAGAGAGUAGGCCGAGAUGAGCGACGUCGGAAAUGAGUCUAGUGUAGUAGGACAUGGGCAAGGAGAUCAAGAGGAAGGGCUUCGGUGCCGAGAGGGACGAAUAGGAGGGCUCUGAGCAAAGAACAGAAGAGCUCGACAUGGCGGCGUCAGUGCAGUAGAUUGUUGUUCAAGGAGAGCUGAAGCUACGAUCGUCGAAACUAAAAACUUACAACACAAAUGUUGUGCGGAACUGCGAGAUUAGGCUGCUAGUCAAAAGAAAUUUCAAACGAUCGGUCGUGCGCGAUGAAUCUGACAAAAUUCAUCCAGAAUAGCUCCAAACAGGAGCACGAAAUAAAGAACUUCUAGCCGACAAAACUAUGGUCAGAUCGCCUGAAUGGUACCGCAGGAUCGAGGUGCAUCUUUUUCGUGUAGGGCUUACCUGGAAUCGAAGCCUCGUUGUGUAGAUCAAAGGGACAAGGAAGAGAGCAGAUUAGAGAGAAGAUUACUGGAGGUUGAAGAAGACCUCAUGUAAUCACCUCGCAUUCCUCUCGUCUCCACUCGUGCAAGGGCCUGCUCGCUUGCGCUCGCCUCAGCCUGGCUCGCGAGAAACCGCUGGUUCAAGCGUUUCCAGCGAGCCAGCCUGUGGGCUGCUUUAAGAAGCGUGCGAUGCAGGCCCAGCAAUGUAUACAUGCAACUAAACAGGCCGGAUUCUUCUCGCGCGGGCCUGGUUGGGCCUCAUGCAGGCAACCAAACACGCCCUAAGUGUAUUCUCUACACAAUCGCACCUCAUUCAUGAUAAGUAGGUGUAGAAUUAUUCCAUUCAUAAACAUACAGUGUGGUUCAGUUAUCCAACACUCCUACAUUUAGAGUACUAGUCAAUGUGUAUGUGCAAUGCACGUUAAUUUGAAAAUAUAUGAAAUGCAUGCGGAUAUUAAGCAGGAUAUUAUUUGCGUGUGUAUUAAUGUGAUUAGCACUAUAUUUGGCAUGAAAUUAACUGCACGCUAAACGUGUUGAGCGCUCAACAUUGAAAUAAUCUAGGUCAUUGGGUUGACAUGAUUUGAUGGCCAAGAUUAAUUGGAUCUGCCCCUUUUUGUCUUUUUAUAUUGGUAUAGAUAGAUCUGAGGUGUCGGUCAACCGAUCUAUGCCACUGUUCGGUCGCCUCCCCGCAGGAGGAUGCCUCCGUGUGGGCCGUUGGUUCCCGCUUCAUCCCCUUGCCGAUUCUAUUUUUCUCCCUGACGACCCUUGCCAAUUUAGUAGCCAUAGGGAUAAAGAAGGGAGGGCCCUCUCUUCUUGUCGAAUCCCUAAAACAUUACAGGCAUGGUGGAGGAGGAGUGGAGAGGUGGCGAGUUCGGCGAAGAGCGCGUCAGACGCCGGCUACUCCUGUCGGAGGAACGCCCGAUUGGCCUCCACGUAGGCCUCUAUCUCCGCAUUGAGUUCGGCGAAGAGCGCGUUAGACGCUGCCUGCUCCUGCUGGAAAAACGCCCGGUUGGCUUCCACAUAGGCCUCAUCCUGGAUGGACUCCAGGAUGGCUUGCUACUCCGCCAUCUCGUCCGAUUGGGUGAUGGCAAACUCUGACUCCGACUGCUCCAUGUUGAAGCCUGACAGCACCUACUCCGGCAACUCCAGCUCCGGCUGCUCCGCAUCAUCCGCCUCCAUCGGAGCCAACUCCUCUCCCUUCUCUUCCCCCAGCUCUUCCUAUCCCUCAUCUGGCUCCAGCGAGUCCGGAGGCUGCCUGGCAGUGAUGCGGGCGGCGUGCGCGACUUGUCUCGCCCGAAUCUCCUGCUGGAUCUCAUACCGGCGCUCCGGCUUGAGCAUUGCGUAGUAGGUGAUCAUCCUCCGGACCAUGGCGGAGCUCCGAAGCGUGGGCAGAGCGCCAGAGCGAAAGAGGGAGGAGGUGGAUGGGCUCGGACUAGUGGUGCGGAGAUGGGGGAGGUGGAUGGACUAGGGUCACGACGCCAGUCGGCUCAAAUUGGCGGAGUUGGUCUCGGGCGGCGAGCUGGAGCGGCGCCACGCGGCGUUCACACCGCAGCAAUGGACGCGACGUCCGUCAGGCCGUCGGGUUUCCGGUUGUUGCCGUGUGGGACCCCGCCAUCAGACCGACGCGGAGGGCGUGCCCGGACACUCCCAUAUCCGCCUCAUAUUUAGGCUGGAUAUGAGAGGUGCCGGUCAGCCCGGACGUUUGAGGCUCGUUUGAGGGGGUCUGGGUCGAAUAAUCGUAACUGGUCGACGUAUGAGACCGGUUUGGGACGCCUGGCUGUAGAUGCUCUUAUAUCGCAUCAUUGGCUCUUAUUUUCUUGGAGGAUGCGCUGGCUCUUUUUUUGUUGCGGGAAAGGGUUUUUUUGGAAACAAGGCAAAAGAUUUGCCAUUUUCAUUGAUUAAGCAUAAAAGAGUUGUACGGUUAAUUAAUGGGAACCCGGGAGAAAACCGUCACAAUACGCCCAUCAAAAGGGCACACCGGCCGAUCUGGCACCCACAAGACCACACACACCGUCGAGGAGGGGACACCGUCGAGGUUGAGUGCAAUGUGAUCGUCGUCACCUCUCCCCAAGCAGGCGACUCCGACUUCGCCGCUGACGACUCGUCAAGACCCCUCCGAACGAACGACACCCGAGGACCUCAUCGGCCAAAGCCAAACAAUCGGCCGAGACAUCGAAGACCGGCAGCUCCGAUUUUGUUAAUGUGCUUCAGGGAGAAAGUUGCAAGCCUCGCACCGACCUAGUCCAACGCAGUCUCCGGAGAGCACCGUCCGCUGAAUCCGCCCUCAUGGAGUCAUCGUUGCCGCAGGGGCCCUACCACGUGCAGCUCCGAUUUCUUUGUCACGGCGAGAAGCAAACAUAGUCACACCCAUUGGCGCACCGGACCGCCGACAUCAAAAGGAUCAGCCGUGACCCAGCUCCACGCGCCACCAUCGUCGUUACCGCACAAGUGGCAACGCCAACACCUCGCAUCACCGGUUGGGCACCAGCCAACCUUGAUGUCGUGCACGUCCAGCCCAUGGAAAGCGCGGAGGAGAACAAGUCUUCAAGACGACGCCCCCAAGGGGGGAAGCAAUGCGGAAACGACGCCGUCACCCGACAUGGUCAUAGGCUUUCGCCCGAAGACGAACCCCGAAGGUGGACAAGGUCAGAGAGCUCCACGACGACCCUUCAGGAAGGAAGAACGACGCCCAUAGGCGCCGCGUCGUUGGCCUCGACAGAAGCCACGCAGGCAAACACCCGGAGCACUGGCCUCCACACCCCCACGCAACCAGCCACCAGCAGGGAGCCUGCAGCUAAUCCGCAGAUCCGCUGAACCGCACACCCCGGCGCCGUGGCGGUGCCACCACCAUGCCGGAGCCAUCCACCUCGCCGUCGGAAGGCGCCGAUGAGCCAAACCCGGCCAGGACGACCAGAUCCGGCGGCCCCCAGUUGCAGCAUCGUCGCAGAGGCCACCCGAGGACGCAUGGGAGGAGACACCAAAGUUAUAGUAUGUUUUUUUUGCGUAAGCUAUUGGGAGUUUAAGGAACUAUUGGGAGUAGCUAAGUUAUAGUAUGGGGCGUUCUGGUCCGCUCGUGAUGCAUGACCUUCGGUCGGCCUGGAUCUCCGGCGUGCACGCGCCUGCUGAUGUUGUGGCUGGUUCGGAGGUGGCGGCAGGGUGCAUGGCCGGGAGAAACCCUUGGCCGCCGGUGGCGGUCACGGCGUCGAUGGCGUCCCGGACGCCAUUCCCUCCUUGGUGGCGGUGCAAGGCUCAACCUCCUCUACCUCCCCCCUUCCCCUGCGCCCGGGUGAAAACCCUAGCCCCGGUGGCUAAGCGGCGGCGGCACCACAGCAUCGUCACCUUCUUGAAGGCGCCGACUUGGGCAUGGGCAUGCUGGGCGUGCAUGGUGAGCUUGUCUGGUUCCUGGUGGCGGCCCGUCCUCUUCCGGCCAUGUCUCCGAUGGGGACCUCGCCCUUCCUCACCUUGUACAUGCCGUGGUGGAGCGGUACCUCAUCUCACUCAUUGAUGGCAGCGGAAAUUGGCGGCAUGGCGCUGUGGAGGCUCGGCGUCCGAUGCGCAGAGAUGGACUCGCGCAGGAGGAGGUAGCUGUCUGGCGUCAUGGUGACGUCGAUGGCAGAGUGGCCAGACAAGGUAGAAGACUAAAUAUAAUCUGAAGACGGACCUGUGGAAGAUGGCUGCGACGACACAAGAGUGCGUCUGACCGGAUUGUGCCCCAGACCCGGUAUGUGGCUCGGCUGGGACUUCCGGCUUUUGAUGUUAGGUUUAGGUGAGUGGUUUGGGUAGUGGCCCAGCUAGCAUCCCUUCAUCAUAUGGAUAGGAGUAGCGGCAUAUGUUGCCAAGAUGGUGGAUUCAGGUAUAUUGUUCGUAAUACUUUGUAAGGUCCUCGAGAAUAGUUAAUAAAGUGGCCGUAUGCAUCUCCCAAAUGCAGAGGCCGGGGGUCAUCCUCCUUUUCAAAAAAAAAAAUUAUAGUAUGUUUUCAUUCACCUGAUGUCGUUACUAUUAGAGUGCGCCUGUAUUGGGUUGUCAGAUUGUAAGUAGUUCACAAGUUGUUGGGUGUUAAAAAAAUAGUGGGUCAUAAAAAAUUGGCUAGAGAAAGCGCACGCAUGGGAUCUCGAACUCGCGAUCAAUAACUUCUGAUCGGACUGUGUGUUGCAAGCCACUACAGCUGACUGGUGUUACUAAUUAAUAAUCACCCCCAAACUUUAAAGAAUUAUAUACCGUGACAGAUUUCUUUUUUGCAUUUUUUUACUUUUUUAAAACUUGCAACAUCUGUUGAAAUUCCCUGAACAUUUUUAUAUUUACAAAUAAUAUUUGGUAAGAUGAACAUAUUUUAACUUUGUGGAAAUUUUGAAAAAAGCUGAUCUAUUUAAAAUUUUCAUUUUUUGAAAUUGUAAACAAAAUGAAAAAAAUGAACACCAUUUGAAAGAUUUUAUUUUAAUUUAUGAACAAAGUAUGGAAAGCCAGGAUGUUUUUAUAUUCGUGAAAAAAUUGAAAAAGAGACAUUUUUAAAGCUUUGAAAAAUUUAUGACAAAAUAUAUUCAAAUUUACAAAACAUUUCUUCAAAAUCACAAACAUUUUAAAAAAAUAAAAAACAUGAAAUAAGAAAACAAAACAAAGAAAGGAAAAAGGGAGAGAAUGUGCAGUUAUGAACCCCUUGAAAACUUGCAACUGCGACUACACUAGAGAAAAUUGCAGUUGCGACCGAACUUUAAAAAACUUGUAAUUAGGACUACCCUGGAGGAACUUGCAAUUGCAACCGGCCUUUAAAAAACUUGCAAUAAAGACUACCCUAGAGAAAGUUAUAGUUGCGCCCAGCGUUAAAAAACAUACAAUUGCGACUGGCCUUCAAAAUGUUGUGAUUGCGACUACCCUAGAGAAACUUGCAGAUGCGACAAACCUUCAAAAAACUAGCAAUUGUGAUUGGCCUUCAAAAAACAUGCAAUUGCGGCUAGACUUUUGAAGCCUUUGAAAGGAAAGUAUCAUGGAGCUCACAGAUCGCCUAGCCUACAUUUCUGAAAGAUUACAUCGAAGGCGAAUAACUGAUAUCACCGAAAAAGAUGUGGUCAAUAAACUGCUCAGCACUUGUGAUGCAUGCUUUGAGUCAAUAAUUGCAGAAAUCGAGCUAAGAUCUGACUUUGAAGAACUUCACUAUCUUGAGGCCUUAGUACAAAAGAAAAAAAAUCUUUAGGAAUGAAUUCCAAAUCAAACUACCUUCGAUAAGAAAAACUACAUAAACAAAAAUCUUCAAAUCUUUUGAUAAUGUUAUUAAAUACUUUAAAUGAAAUAUUAAAUACUCAAAGAAUAUGUAAGGACAUCUCCAACGCCGACUCUCAAAACGCCCGCAACCGUCCAGACCUACUUUUUCCCGUAAACUAGAAAAAAACUAGGGGGAGGGGGGGAGGGGAACUUGUGGGCCUCCGAACCGCUGCAUGCUCCAAGAAACCCUUCUCUCCAGCGUCCCUUCCCGACCAAAGCGGGCAGCGCCACUCCAGAGCACUGGUGUCGCAUUCAUGCCGACUCAUAGCGACGCGACCUCUCAUUGGCGCUACAACAUUGAAGCGGCGACCCGGCCUAGAACGUCCCACGCGUCGUUUCCACGCGCAUGCGAAUCCUACUGGUUCAAAUGACCGGCCAUCAUUCCGCUUCCCUACAUUAAACAUGCACGGUUUCCCUGCCAUCGGCCGCAUAUUUAAACUCAAGGCCCGCCAUAGCCACAUCAAUCCUCCCCCGCUCCUUUUAUCCUCUUCGCACCAUGCCCGCCAUGGCCUCUUCGAGUUCCAAAGCUAUCUGGGACUGCCUCUCACUCGAGUUGACAACAAAAAUCACCGCCAAUGCUGUCGAAAGCCAGAAGCCUUCUAAAAGAAGAUCGACGAGGCGGUCGGUGAAGUAUACGGCAAGAGCUAGCGAAGACGAGGGCGACGUUGCCAGCUCUGCGACACCCGCGCCCCACCGCCGGCAGCAAGAAAGAGUAGAGCAUGGGGGAUCGCUGACGCUCUAGUCCCAAGAAGACCUCCGCCCUUUCGCUGGCCGAUUAGCCACUUUCAAGCUGCGGAGGCGAAGCUAGAGUUUCAGUUCCCAGGGCUCAUGGCCGGCAGGAAAUAGGCAAACAGGCACCGACGGUCAUUUAGACUAGGUUUAGAGUACGGUUUAGUUCGAAUAUAUCGAAAUGCAAUUAGUUUUCCUCCGGUGUAGAUGAAAAGCAUUCGGGUUUAUCUAAAAAUUAUUCAAGUAUGAAUUAAUGUAGCCUGGUUUGUCUAAAUAUCCCUCAAAUUUGUUCACUUUAGUUAAAUUUAUUCUGAAAUGCAACCGAACAUAUACACAUAGCUUUGGAUGAUCUCCUCCGACAUCAAUGUCCGCGGAUCGAGGGAACUUAAGUAUGUGUCAAUGAAGGACGUUAGGGUAGCUUCUCACAUCAACACUUCAAGAUCCAAAUAAGGAUAACUCAACCCGUUGAAACACACCCGCAUAUAUGGACCAAUAGAAAUAAUGGAAACUUUAUUUCAAUGUUUGUCAGACUUGAAUAUAAGUGGAACAACCCAUGGGUAUAUGUACUAGUAUUAAUAAAGCAAGGUGUGUUUUUUUGAUUUUUUUUCAUUUGUUCACCCUCAAAAAUAUUUUUUUAUCAAAGGCAGUACUAAAUUUUUAUGCGUCCGUCUGCUAUAAAAAACAGUUUCUCCGGGCUUUUGUGAGUGACCCGCGCGCACUGUAGCCCAGCGAAGCCAAUCUACUUAUUUUUCUACCCACAUAGCCGGGGUGGGGCAAAUAGUCGGAGCUUCGCAGAGGGCGCGCAAAGCUGGGCCGACCAGUUUUUCUUUUCUUUCUGUGUUUUGUUUCUAUUUUUCUUUCCUUUUUCUGUUCCAAUUUCAUAUUUAUUUUUCGUUUUUCCAUAAUUCAAAAUAUUCAACAAAAUAUUCAGAAUUUCAAAAUCUUUUCACAUUUUCAAAAAUUCAGAAUUCCAGUUUUUCCCCCAUUUUUCAAAAAUGUUCGUAACUCUUAGUUUUUUUUCUUGUUCCAAAAUAUGUUCUAAAUUCACAAAAUUUCCAUUUUGUUCAAAAUAUUGAUUUUUUUCAAAAAAAAUAUUUAUGUUUUUCAAAAUUGUUUGAGAUUGAAAAAAUGCAUUUUAAUGAGGUUUUAAAUUUUUGAAUAAUACUCUUUUUUAGUGAAAUAUUGGCGAAUGUAAUCUAUUCCUACUAAUAAAGCAAGGUGUGUUUCUCUCAUUUUUUUAUUCUUUCACUGCCAAUUGUGUUUCUAUGCGGGAGACUAAAUUUUUGUGCGUCAAUGACUCCGUCUGCUGUAAAAAAAACAGUUUGUCCAGAAUUUCGUAAGUGGGCCGCGCACGAUAUGGCCCAGCGAAGGCAGCCCACGUAUUUACCUGCCCACGCAGUCGGGGACACCCUAUUUGCUGCAUGUUGAGGCAAACAUUCGGAGCUUCGCAGAGGGUCGGCAAGGCUUGGCCGGCCGUUUUUUUCCUGUGUUCUACUUCUAUUGUUCCUAACUGUUUUUAUUUUUUCCCUUCCAAGCUUAUUGUUCUUUUUUCCUUUUUUCUUAAAUUCAGAAUAUUCAAAAAAUUCAAAAUUUCAAUUUUUCCACAUUUUCGAAAAUGAAGAAUUCCAAAAUUUUGUUCCUGUUUUGGAAAAUAUUCGGAACUAUCAAUUUUGUUCUCUUUCCAAAAAAAAUUCCAAAUUCUAAAAAUAUUCCUAUUUUUUCAAAGUAUUGUUUCUAAUUUCCAAAUUUGUUUAUGUUUUUUUUAUUUUUGAGAUUUUUCUUAAAAAAUGCAUUUUAGUUAUAUUUUCAAAAUUUGAAUAAUACUCUUGUUUUUGUGAAAUUUUGACGAAUGUAAAAUAAUAUUCACGCUUAAUUUUUUUUUCAAAAUUUGUUCUGAAUGUUCAAAACAUGUUCCUAUUUCCAAAAAUUGUUAACAAGUUUAGAAAAUGAUUUCAAAAACUGUUCGCCUAUUUAAAAAUGUUCCUAUUUUAAAUUUAUUAUUUUCUCCAGAAAUGAAUGGAAAUUUCUAAAAUACGGUUCUCCUUUUUGGAAACUGUUCAGGAUUUCAAAUAUUGUUCAUGUUUUGAAUGUGAUACUGCAACAUGUUCUUAAAUAUUGUCACUGGCCAUUGGUUAGCCAGCAUGUGGCCGUGUCUUUGAGCGCGUGAUUUCGAUCAUUCAAGACGUUUCUUUUUUAUUUUGGAUUUUUACCCGCGCCUUACAAAUAAAGUUCGUUUCGGUUUCUAUCGUGGUCAAGCCUGGGCAUUUCACAUGCCACACAACUUAGCCGGCCCAUCUACUUGGGAAAUAAGGCAAAAUAUUUAAAUAGUCCCACAUUGCUCCUUUACAUACAGUUGUACGAAUUUAUAAACAUAUGUGAAACUACAUGUGGUAAGUUGGAUGAAGGUUGGAUGGAUUAAGUUGGACGAAGAAUGGAUGGAUUGGCUUGUGUACGUGAGCUAGAUGGAUAGAUUGCUAGGUGAACUAGCUACAAAAGGACCCCGAAUUUCUCCAGUACAUGAGUACCCGAGGAAAAGAGAAGAGAAGACCUGACUAUGUGGGCUACAUGCUUGCAAAAGAGAAGACCCGACUCACUCCCAUAUUAUGGAACAUCACGCCUUAAAUGGAGUAGAAUUAAUAAAACCUAGGACCUAAAUGUUCAAACUUCAUACAUUAAAUCCCCUCGAUCAACAAACAUAAAAAUAGCGGAUUGAUUACUUCGCACACGACGAAAACAAAAACAUAAAUAUCCUUCUCGGUGUGCACAUUAGGUUAUGUUUCCACAUAUAAUUCUCACUAAAUUUAAAUGCAAAUUAUUUUUUUCUCCCGUUGCAACGCAUAGGCAUAUGUGCUAGUAGAUGGAUAACAGAAUGUUCAAACUUCAUACAUUAAAUCCCCUCGAUCAACAAACAGAAAAAUAGCAGAUUGAUUACUUCGCACAUGACGAAAACAAAAACAUAAAUAUCCUUCUCGGUGUGCACAUUAGGUUAUGUUUUCACAUAUAAUUCUCACUAAAUUUAAAUGCACAUUAUUUUUUCUCCCGUUGCAACGCAUAGGCAUAUGUGCUAGUAGAUGGAUAAUAGAAAUUGAAUAGAUAGAUAUAUUUCUGUUCAGUCAAAAUUCGUGCCCGUUGGUUGUUUUCUCAUGGCCGAAAUCACUAUUCUGACCCUUUGAACGAACUUUGUCACAAAAUGAACUCGACAUGAAAGUAUUUCAUGAUCUGACUCUUUUAGCAACGCCACAGCCCGCGGCGUUUCUGCCCAACAUAGAAACGCCGAGGUAGCUAGCGUUUCUGAUCAAAGAAGAAAGGCCGAGGUAGCUAGCGUUACGGACUAGGUAAGAAACGCCAAAGGUGCUGGCGUUUCUGGCCAUGAUAGAAACGCCAACGAACCAUGGCGUUGCUGCCCUCUUUGGUCAUAAUUAAUUAGCCUUAUUAAUUAGGCUGUUCAUCCACAUUCCACAUGCACAUGAAAAAAGGCAGCAACGCCAUGGUCAUUGGCGUUUCAAUGAUGGGCAGCAACGCCAGCGCCUUCGGCGUUUCUUACCUGGUCCGUAACGCUAGCUAUCUCGACGUUUCUUCUUUGAUCAGAAACGCUAGCUACCUCGGCGUUUCUAUGUUGGGCAGAAACGCCGUGAGCUGUGGCGUUGCUAAAAGGGUCAGAUUGUGAAAUACUUUCACGUCGAGUUCAUUUUGUGACAAAGUUUGUUCAAAGGGUCAGAAUAGUGAAAAAGGCCUUUUCUCAUGGAGGUGUUUAGGGUGUGGGUUUUCGAGUAAAGCUACAUCAACGUUUGUUUUUAACAGAUCUUACAAACUGGUUGACGUGUGGGCAUCUGAUUGCAAAAUGAAAGGGGACACGUACUACAGGAAAAGGGCUGGUGGCCGACAUUUGGGAAAGUCGGGCCGAUCGGGUGUCUUCAUUCAAGCGAGGGUACAGAGGAAGAACGAAACGAAGUGAGAGGCCGGGGGAGCCCACUUGAUACGAACCUAGGCAACUAGCACUGGAUUAACUAUCACAAUCACCAGAUCUAGGAUACAAUUUGGUGGCAAGGGUUCUUCAGCGAGAAAGGGGAUCGGGGAGAUAGAGCCAAGACGUGGAAUAACGGAUCUCGCCCAACAGCGAACUUUACAAAGUGGUCGAACGAUAACCCUACGCACUACACCCACUAGACUAAAGUAGCAGCAGCGGCACCAAGUCUGGGCCAUGAAUCCGUGGGUUGGGCUUGUUGUCUCUCUUUGCCUGGGUCUUGGUCUUGUGUCAUGGUUGUUUCCUUCACAUUCCUCCUCCCUUUAACUUUGACGCACGGGGGAAAUACGAAUGGACUGGUUCUGCAUCUUCCCAGGUCGCCAAGGAAGGUGGAAACCAGACCACUGCACCUGAACCAACAACGCGGCCUGACGUGUGCCACAAUGGAAAAUGCGUGAAUAACAUUAAUACCAGCAACAGUCGGCCAUGCAUGAGGCCAGGAAUAGCAUUUAUACCAGCCUAUUAUGUAACCCCUCCCGGCACAUAUGCCUAUGCGUUGUAACAGGAGAGAAAAUAAUGUGCAUUUAAAUUUAUGUUACCCCUCCCAACGGGAGGGAAGCACUGGGCUGAAGGUUGGAUAUCCACAAUUUUUACCUUACGCCAAGAGCUAGCUAAGAACACUACAUAAGAAGGGUAUUACCUCCAUUGGGGAGGGCCUGAACCUAUAUAAACCCUUGUGCAUACUACCAUCUGUAUUGAUCGAUAGAUACGAUUGUAUCCACAUACACACUACUGCAGUAUUGGUAGGAUUAUAUCCAUAACAAAUGGCUUGUAGUUUUUGAUCCACAAUACGACAGAUCAACUUCUCUAGAAAAAUUAAUCCACCUCCUUAUCGACAUCCUUGUCGAGCCUCUAGAGGUUGUUGGCUUUCGCGAUGCAUGUUGAUAUUUGCCACCAACGUGAACAAAAAUCAUCGAAAUCAGCAUUGAUACCCCCUAGUGGUGUGACUGCAUGCGGAUCUCGAGGGCUCAUAACACCUCUUUGACUACUUGUCCAGAAUUAGCAUUGUCAAGGAGGCGUUCAAGUGGAAGAAGCAAAGGAAAGCCCCGUGUAGUGUGUGACUUUCCCGCUUGAUCGUGCACUAAUCAUACAUCCAAAUGCACACGAUCAAAAUCAGGGACUCACGGGAAGAUAUCACAACAUAACUCUAAACACAAAUUAAAGUCAUACAAGCUUUAUAUUACAAGCCAGGGGCCUCAAGGGCUCGAAUACAUAACCUUGAAUACAAACGAGUCAGCGAAAACAACAAUAUCUAAGUACAUACAUAAGAUAAACAAGUCUGCCUUAAGAAGUGUAGCACAAAAGCAACAACGAUAGAAAAGGCAAGGCUUCCUGCCCGGGAGCCUCCUAACUACUCCUGGUCGUCUGUGGUCUCCACGUAGUAGUAGGCACCAUCGGGGUAGUAGUAGUUGUCGGCAGUGGCAUCUUGCUCCUGGGAUCUGUCAUCUGAUCGCAGCAAUUCGGUACAGGGGGAAAAUGAGUAGCAAAGCAACCGUGAGUACUCAUCCAAAGUACUCGCAAGACUUACAUCAGAACUAUACUAAGUAUGUAUCAGUAUCAAAGGAACGAGGCUAUAUUUUUGGACUGAACUGCAGAAAUGCCAGAAUAGAGGGAAAUCCUAGCCUAUCGAAGACUAACAUGUUGAAGCAUCUUGCAACAUUAGAAGCGUACAUAUUAGCAUAUUAUAAGUAGCAAGUUUAUUUAGUAACUAUAAGAGAUCCUUUCUCAACUCCCUGCAAGAAAGCAAUCCCACAGCCAACAUAUCCAUUUCAUCUCUAGUAUCCAGUUCUAUUUGUAUAGACCGGGAUACAACUCCGAGUGUGCAUUACCGUGGACACGACUAUUCAAAUAGAUAUACUUCCCUGUAGGGGUGCACAAACUUACCCAACACGCUUGAUUAACUCCGGCCGGGAAAACCAUCAGAUCAUACACUACCUAGACUCAACAGAGAGGCCAACACGCCGGUCUACACCCUAAGUGCGCGGGGGUCUUGAGCCCAUCGCCCGUAGCACUCCUGCAUGUUGCGAGGACGACCGAGAUCAGUCCUGGCUACCUCUUUAUACAAAGAAGGUGCUUACGCGGAUCACCCGAGCGCGUGCCGCUCCAUCAGUGACGUCUGCGAGCUUUCUGAAGAAACAUAUGACAUAGAGUGCCCAUGCUUAUUCCCGCAUGGUGUCAGUGCGAAAAGGCCAGAGGCCUAUUCGGAUUACAUAUCCAAAUGCAUUAGUGUCUUGGGAGCGCGCGAUGACGAUCAGUGCUACUGUCGCCCCGUCUCAAGGACUUAUGGCAAGGGCCAGGCCCAGCCCUCUUUGGGGCGGUCUGCCUACCCGGCUGUCCCUCAUAAUUAUCUCACGGGUACCCUCCAGGUCAACCCAACUUCAGUAACUCUCGCGGGUAUCGCUCGGGGCCGACCCGUCUUUAACAUGGUUUCGUGGUAAAGUCAAAGUAAUCGUGUGUCCAAAACACCAAGGGAGAAUCCGAGGAAUCACCCUCGAUGGAAUCCACCUGAUGUAAUCAUCAAGGUGAACUUGGAGGACUCACCCUCGAUGGUUCAUGCUUGAGGUGUUGCACGAUAGAUUCAUUAUCGGGAGUGGUAAAGGAGGAAUCACCCUCGAUAGACCACGACCGAUUAGCUACACUACAGAGUUAUCAUCAGGAGUGCGUUACGAGGUAUCACCCACGACACUCGGUAGUAGCUUUGCAGAGUGGUACAACUAAAGGUCGCGAGGUGAUGUGUCGGGCCCUAGACGUCGAUCACGUUGAUCGACUCAUCGGUGAUGAAGCCGGGGCAACUGGGACAAGGUGUGGGGUCACUGAUGGAUUACUAACCAACCUAUACUAAGCAUGUAGGAUAAGUAGGUAAGGUACAAAAGCAGGUUACAAAGUCAAGCUAUGCAUUAGAAUAAGAGCAAUCAUUUACAGUAGAAAAAUCUAAUGCAAGCAUGAGAGAGAAUAGAAUGGGCGAUAUAGGAAUGAUCAAACGGGGUUUGCUUGCCUGGAAGCUCUGCUGCAAGUGGCUGGACGUCAAGGGCGUAGUCUUACCCGGCAGCAUAGUCAGUAUCGGUGUUUAUCGGAGAUAGGAGGGGGGAAAAUAAUAAAUAUAAAGCAACAGUUGCAUCACGAUGCAUGACAUGACCAAAUGCAGUGCUAGAGGUGACCUAACGGAGUAAUACACAUUACAGACGAAGAUGGAAAACAUCUGGGGAUGUUUUCCCGGCGUUUGACAUUUUCUGGACAGAUGAAAGAGAGGGGAAGGAUCCAUGUUUGCAGUGUUAGAGGGGUGUGUCAGAUGAAUGGAAUGCAUAUCGGAUUUGUUGUUUUUUUCUGAGCAAUUUUCAUGUAUAAAUUAUUUGAAUUAAUUAUUUUAUAUUAAUUUCCAAAGUUUUAAACAUUUUUUGAAUUAAUUAUUAAAUAAAAAAUGAAGUUAUUGCAUCAGCAUGACGUCAGUGGUCAACCCAGCUGGUCCAGGUCCAACCGGACAGCUGGGUCCUACAUGUCAUUGAUAGUGGGGUUAAUAGAGGGUUAAUUUUAACUAACUAGCACUACUAUGGAAAACCCUAGCAGUAGCGCGUGUUUAAAGCUUAUCAGUAGCGCGGGGAACAACGCUACUAGUAAGGUGCUAGUGUUGGGGAACGUAGCAGAAAUUCAAAAUUUUCCUACGUGUCACCAAGAUCUAUCUAUGGAGAAACCAGCAACGAGGGGAAGGUGAGUGCAUCUACAUACCCUUGUAGAUCGCUAAGCGGAAGCGUUCAAGAGAACGGAGUUGAAGGAGUCGUACUCAUCGUGAUCCAAAUCACCGGAGAUCCUAGUGCCGAACAGACGGCACCUCCGCGUUCAACACACGUACAGCCCGGUGACGUCUCCCAUGCCUUGAUCUAGCAAGGAGAGAGGGAGAGGUUGAGGAAUACUCCGUCCAGCAGCAGCACAAUGGCGUGGUGGUGGUGGAGGAGCGUGGCAAUCCAGCAGGGCUUCGCCAAGCACCGUGAGAUAUGAGGAGAAAGAGAGGUAGGGCUGCGCCAACAGGAGAAGGACUUCGUGUGUUGGGCUGCCCCUUUGCCUCCAAUAUAUAUAGGGGGAGAGGGGGGGCUGUGCCCCCACCUAGGGUUCCACCCCUAGGGGCGGCGGCCAGCCCUAGAUCCCAUCUAGGGGGCGGCCAAGGGGGGGAGGAGUGCCUCCCAAGUCAAGUGGAGGCCCUCCCCCUUAGGGUUUCCCCUCUCCCAUGCGCAUGGGCCUUGGGGGGCUGGUGCCCGUGGCCCAUUAAGGCUAGGGCGCCCCCUUACAGCCCAUGCUACUGUAUUGGACGUGGUGGAACAUUUUCCGGACCUCCGUACCCCUCCGGAAUCCUCCGGAACCUUCCGGAAGCUUCCCGGUACAAUACCGGAAAAAACUGAACUUUUCCCGGAACCCGAACAACAACUUUCCAUAUAUAAAUCUUUACCUCCGGAACUCCUCGUGACGUCCAGGAUCUCAUCCGGGACUCCGAACAACAUUCGGUAACCACAUACAAACUUCCUUUAUAACCCUAGCAUCAUCGAACCUUAAGUGUGUAGACCCUACAGGUUCAGGAACCAUGCAGACAUGACCGAGAUGUUCUCCGGUCAAUAACCAACAGCGGGAUCUGGAUACCCAUGUUGGCUCCCACAUGUUCCACGAUGAUCUCAUCGGAUGAACCACGAUGUCAAGGACUCACUCAAUCCCGUAUACAAUUCCCUUUGUCUAGCGGUAUUGUACUUGCCCGAGAUUCGAUCGUCGGUAUCCCGAUACCUUGUUCAAUCUCAUUACCGGCAAGUCUCUUUACUCGUUCCGUAACACAUCAUCCCAUGAUCAAGCCCUUGGUCACAUUGUGCACAUUAUGAUGAUGUCCUACCGAGUGGGCCCAGAGAUACCUCUCCGUUUACACGGAGUGACAAAUCCCAGUCUCGAUUCGUGCCAACCCAACAGACACUUUAGGAGAUACCUGUAGUGCACCUUUAUAGCCACCCAGUUACGUUGUGACGUUUGGUACACCCAAAGCAUUCCUACGGUAUCCGGGAGUUGCACAAUCUCAUGGUCUAAGGAAAUGAUACUUGACAUUAGAAAAGCUUUAGCAUACGAACUACGAUCUUUGUGCUAGGCUUAGGAUUGGGUCUUGUCCAUCACAUCAUUCUCCUAAUGAUGUGAUCCCGUUAUCAACGACAUCCAAUGUCCAUGGUGAGGAAACCGUAACCAUCUAUUGAUCAACGAGCUAGUCAACUAGAGGCUUACUAGGGACAUAGUGUUGUCUAUGUACGCACACAUGUAUCUGAGUUUCCUUUCAAUACAAUUAUAGCAUGGAUAAUAAACGAUUAUCAUGAACAAGGAAAUAUAAUAAUAACUAAUUUAUUAUUGCCUCUAGGGCAUAUUUCCAACAGUCUCCCACUUGCACUAGAGUCAAUAAUCUAGUUCACAUCGCCAUGUGAUUAACACUCACAGGUCACAUCGCCAUGUGACCAACAUCCAAAGAGUUUACUAGAAUCAAUUAUCUAGUUCACAUCACUAUGUGAUUAACACUCAAUGAGUUAUGGGUUUGAUCAUGUUUAUGCUUGUGAGAGAGGUUGUAGUCAACUGGUCUGCAAUAUUCAGAUCCCUAUGUAUUUCGCAAAACUUUAUGUCAUAUCAUAGAUGCUGCUACCACGUUCCACUUGGAGCUAUUCCAAAUUGUUGCUCCAUUAUACGUAUCUGGUAUCUCUACUCAGAGCUAUCCGGAUAGGUGUUAAGCUUGCAUCGACGCAACUCUUUACAUCGAACUCUUUAUCACCUCCAUAACCGAGAAACAUAUCCUUAUUCCUCUAAGGAUAAUUUUUACCGCUAUCUGGUGAUCCACUCCUUGAUCACCUUUGUACCCUCUUGCCAGAUAUGUAGCAAGGCACACAUCAGGUGCGGUACACAGCAUAGCAUACUGUAGAGCCUAUGUCUAAGGCAUAGGGGACGACCUUCGUCCUUUCUCUCUUUUCUGCCGUGGUCGAGCUUUAACUCUUAACUUCAUACCUUACAACUCAGGCAAGAACUCCUUCUUUGACUGAUCCAUCUUGAACACCUUCAAGAUUAUGUCAAGGUAUGUGCUCAUUUGAAAGUACCAUUAAGCGUGUUUGAUCUAUCCUUAUAGAUCUUGAUGCUCAAUGUUCAAGUAGCUUAAUCCAGGUUUUCUAUUGAAAAACACCUUUCAAAUAACCCUGUAUGCUUUCCAGAAAUUCUACAUCAUUUCUGAUCAACAAUAUGUCAACGACAUAUACUCAUCAGAAAUUCUAUAGUGCUCCCACUCACUUCUUUGGAAAUACAAGUUUCUCAUAAACUUUGUAUAAACCAAAAAUCUUUGAUCAUCUCAUCAAAGUGCACAUUCCAACUCCGAGAUGCUUACUCCAGUCCUUAGAAGGAUCGCUGGAGCCAGCAUACCUUUUAGCAUCCUUAGGAUCGACAAAAGCUUUCUGAUUGUAUCACAUACAACCUUUCCUUACGAAGACUGGUAAGGAAACUCGUUUUGACAUCCAUCUGCCAGAUUUCAUAAAUGCAGCUAAUGCUAACAUGAUUCCGACGGACUUAAGUAUCGCUACGGAUGAGAAAAUAUCAUCGUAGUCAACUCCUUGAACUUGUGAAAAACUCUUCGCCACAAGUCGAGCUUCAUAGACGGUGACAUUACCGUCCACGUCCGUCUUCUUCUUAAAGAUCCAUUUAUCUCAAUGGCUUGCUUAUCGGGCAAGUCCACCAAAGUCCAUGCUUUGUUCUGAUACAUGGAUCCUAUCUCGGAUUUCAUGGCUUCUAACCAUUUGUUGGAAUAUGGGCCCACCAUCGCUUCUCCAUAGCUCGUAGGUUCAUCUAGCAAUAUGACCUUCAAGACGGGAUUACUGUACCACUCUGAAGUAGUACGCAUCCUUGUCACCCCACGAGGUACGUUAGUGACUUGAUCCGAAACUUCAUGAUCACUAUCAUAAGCUUCUACUUCAAUUGGUGUAGGCGCCACAGGAACAACUUCCUGUGCCCUGCUGCACACUAGUUGAAGUGAUGGUUCAAUAACGUCAUCAAGUCUCCACCAUCCUCCCACUCAAUUCUUUCGAGAGAAACUUUUCCUCGAGAAAGGACCCGUUUCUGGAAACAAUUACUUUUGCUUCUGGAUCUUGAGAUAGGAGGUAUAGCCAACUGUUUUGGGUGUCCUAUGAAGAUGUAUUUAUCCAUUUUGGGUUCGAGCUUAUCACGAUGAAACUUUUUGACAUAAGCGUCGCAGCCCCAAACUUUUAAGAAACGACAACUUAGGUUUCUCCAAACCAUAGUUCAAACGGUGUCGUCUCAACGGAAUUACGUGGUGCCCUAUUAAAGUGAAUGUGGUUGUCUCUAAUGCCUAACCCAUGAACGAUAGUGGUAAUUCGAUAAGAGACAUCAUGGUACGCACCAUAUCUAAUAGGGUGCAACUAUGAUGUUCGGACACACCAUCACACUAUGGUGUUCCAGGCGGUAUUAAUUGUGAAACAAUUUCCACAAUGUCUUAAUAGCGUGCCAAAGCUCGUAACUCAGAUACUCAUCUUUAUGAUCAUAUCAUAGACAUUUUAUCCUCUUGUCACGAUGAUCUUUUAACUUCACUCUGAAAUUACUUGAACCAUUCAACAAUUCAGACUUGUGUUUCAUCAAGUAAAUACACUCAGUAUCUACUUAAAUCACCCGUGAAGUAAGAACAUUACGAUAUUCACUACAUGUCUCAGCACUCAUUGGACUGCACACAUCAAAAUGUGUUACUUCAAACAAGUUGCUACUUGUUCCAUCUUACUGAAACCGAGGCUUUUCAGUCAUCUUGCCCAUGUGGUAUGAUUUGCAUAUCUCAAGUGAUUCAAAAUCAAGUAAGUCCAAACGAUCCAUCCCCAUGGAGUUUCUUCAUGCGUAUACACCAAUAGACGUGGUUCGCAUGUCUCAAACUUUUCAAAAACGAGUGAGUCCAAACAUCCAUCAACAUGGAGCUUCUUCAUGCGUUUUACACCAGUAUGACUUACAUGGCAGUGCCACAAGUAAGUGGUACUAUCAUUACUAUCUUAUAUCUUUUGGCAUGAAAAUGUGUAUCACUAUGAUCGAGAUUCAAUAAACCAUUCUUUUAGGCGCAAGACCAUUGAAGGUAUUUAUUCAAAUAAAUAGAGUAACCAUUAUUCUCCUUAAAUGAAUAUCCAUAUUGCGAUAGACAUAAUCCAAUCAUGUCUAUGCUCAACGCAAACACCAAAUAACAAUUUUAGGUUUAACUCCAAUCUCGAUGGUAGAGGGAGCGUGCGAUGCUUGAUCACAUCAACCUUGGAAACACUUCCAACACAUAUCGUCGGCUCACCUUUAGCUACUCUCCGUUUAUUCCGUAGCUUUUAUUUCGAGAUACUAACACUUAGCAACCGAACCGUUAUCUAAUACCCUGGUGCUACUAGGUGUACUAGUAAAGUACACAUUAACAUAAUGUAUAUCCAAUAUACUUCUAUCGACCUUGCCAGCCUUCUCAUCUACCAAGUAUCUAGGGUGGUUCCGCUUCAGUGUCCGUUCCUCUCAUUACAGAAGCACUUAGUCUGGGGUUUGGGUUCAACCUUGGGUUUCUUCACUAGAGCAGCAACUGUUUUGCCGUUUCAUGAAGUAUCCCUUGUUGCCCUUGCCCUUCUUGAAACUAGUGGUUUUACCAACCAUCAAUAAUUGAUGCUCCUACUUGACUUCUACUUUCGCGGUGUCAAACAUCGCGAACACUUCAAGGAUCAUCAUAUCUAUCCCUGAUAUGUUAUAGUUCAUCACGAAGCUCUAGUAGCUUGGUGGCAAUGUCUUUGGAGAAACAUCACUAUCUCAUUUGGAAGAUUAACUCCCACUCGAUUCAAGUGAUUGUUGUAACCAGACAAUCUGAGUACAAGCUCAACGAUUGAGAUCUUCUCCCUUAGUUUGUAGGCUAGAAAACUCGUUGGAGGUCUCAUACCUCUUGACGUGGGAACGAGCCUGAAAUCCCAAUUUCAGCCCUCAGAACAUCUCAUAUGUUUCGCGAUGUUUCAAAAACGUUUUUGGUGCCUCAAUUCUAAGCCGUUUAACAUUACCGAACUAUCACGUAGUCAUCAAAACGUGUGUGUCAGAUGUUCGCAACAUCCACAGGCCACGUUCGAGGUCCAGCACACCGAGCGGUGCAUUAAGGACAUAAGCUUUCUAAUGACCGCAUAAUUGCUACUGUCAACUUUCAACUAUAUUUUCUCUAGGAACAUAUCUAAACAGUAGAACUAAAGCGCGAGCUAUGACAUAAUUUGCAAAGGGCUUUUGACUAUGUUCAGGAUAAUUAAGUUCAUCUAAUGAACUCCCACUCAGAUAGACAUCCCUCCAGUCAUCUAAGUGAUUACAUGAUCCGAGUCAACUAGGCUGUGUCCGAUCAUCACGUGAGAUGGACUAGUCAUCAUCGGUGAACAUCUUCAUGUUGAUCGUAUCCACCAUACGACUCAUGCUCGACCUUUCGGUCUCUUGUGUUCCGGGGCCAUGUCUGUACAUGCUAGGCUCGUCAAGUUAACCUAAGUGUUUCACGUGUGUAAAUCUGGCUUACACCCGUUGUAUGUGAACGUAAGAAUCUAUCACACCCGAUCAUCACGUGGUGCUUCGAAACGACGAACUUUCGCAACGGUGCACAGUUAGGGGAACACUUUAUUGAAAUUUUAAUGAGGGAUCAUCUUAUUUACUACCGUCGUUCUAAGCAAAUAAGAUGCAUAAACAUGAUAAACAUCACAUGCAAUCAAAUGGUGACAUGAUAUGGCCAAUAUCAUUUUGCUCCUUUUGAUCUCCAUCUUCGGGGCUCCAUGAUCAUCAUCGUCACCGACAUGACACCAUGAUCUCCAUCAUCGUGUCUCAAUGAAGUUGUCUCGCCAACUUAUUACUUCUACUACUAUGGCUACCGGGUAGCAAUAAAGUAAAGUAAUUACAUGGAGUUUGUUCAAUGACACGCAGGUCAUACAAUAAAUAAAGACAACUCCUAUGGCUCCUGCCGGUUGUCAUACUCAUCGACAUGCAAGUCGUGAUUCCUAUUACAAUAACAUGAUCAAUCUCAUACACCACAUAUCAUUCAUCACAUUCAUCUUGUCCAUAUCACAUCACAUAGCAUACCCUGCAAAAACAAGUUAGACGUCCUCUAAUUGUUGUUUGCAUGUUUUACGUGGCUGCUAUGGGUUUCUAGCAAGAAUGUUUCUUACCUACGCAAAACCACAACGUGAUAUGCCAAUUGCUAUUUACCCUUCAUAAGGAUCCUUUUCAUCGAAUCCGUUCCGACUAAAGUGGGAGAGACUGGCACCCGCUAGCCACCUUAUGCACCAAGUGCAUGUCAGUCGGUGGAACCUGUCUCAUGUAAGUGUACGUGUAAGGUCGGUCCGGGCCGCUUCAUCCCACAAUACCGUCGAAACAAGAUUGGACUAGUAACGGUAAGCAUAUUGAACAAAAUCAACGCCCACAACUACUUUGUGUUCUACUCGUGCAAAGAAUCUACGCAAUAGACCUAGCUCUGAUACCACUGUUGGGAACGCAGCAGAAAUUCAAAAUUUUCCUAUGUGUCACCAAGAUCUAUCUAUGGAGAAACCAACAACGAGGGGAAGGAGAGUGCAUCUACAUACCCUUGUAGAUCGCUAAGCGGAAGCGUUCAAGAAAACGGGGUUGAAGGAGUCGUACUCGUCGUGAUCCAAAUCACCGGAGAUCCUAGUGCCGAACAGACGGCACCUCCGCGUUCAACACGCGUACAGCUCGGUGACGUCUCCCAUGACUUGAUCCAGCAAGGAGAGAGGGAGAGGUUGAGGAAGACUCUGUCCAGCAGCAGCACAACGCCGUGGUGGUGGUGGAGGAGCGUGGCAAUCCAGCAGGGCUUCGCCAAGCACCGUGAGAUACGAGGAGAAAGAGAGGUAGGGCUGCGCCAAUAGGAGAAGGACUUCGUGUGUUGGGCUGCCCCUUUGCCUCCACUAUAUAUAGGGGGAGAGGGGGGGCUGUGCCCCCACCUAGGGUUCCACCCCUAGGGGCGGCGGCCAGCCCUAGAUCCCAUCUAGGGGGCGGCCAAGGGGGGGUGGAGUGCCUCCCAAGUCAAGUGGAGGCCCUCCCCCUUAGGAUUUCCCCUCUCCCAUGCGCAUUAAGGCUAGGGCGCCCCCUUACAGCACAUGCUGCUGUAUUGGACGUGGUGGAACAUUUUCCGGACCUCCGGACCCCUCCGGAAUCCUCCGGAACAUUCCGGAAGCUUCCCGGUACAAUACUGGAAAACACCAAACUUUUCCCUGAACCCGAACAACAACUUUCCAGAUAUAAAUCUUUACCUCCGGACCAUUCCGGAACUCCUCGUGACAUCCAGGAUCUCAUCCGGGACUCCGACCAACAUUCGGUAACCACAUACAAACUUCCUUUAUAACCCUAGCAUCAUCGAACCUUAAGUGUGUAGACCCUACGGGUUCGGGAACCAUGCAGACAUGACCGAGAUGUUCUCCGGUCAAUAACCAACAGCGGGAUCUGGAUACCCAUGUUGGCUCCCACAUGUUCCACGAUGAUCUCAUCGGAUGAACCACGAUGUCAAGGACUCAAUCAAUCUCGUAUACAAUUCCCUUUGUCUAGCGGUAUUGUACUUGCCCGAGAUUCGAUCGUCGGUAUCCCGAUACCUUGUUCAAUCUCGUUACCGGCAAGUCUCUUUACUCGUUCCGUAACACAUCAUCCCGUGAUCAACCCCUUGGUCACAUUGUGCACAUUAUGAUGAUGUGCUACCGACUGGGCCCAGAGAUACCUCUCCGUUUACACGGAGUGACAAAUCCCAGUCUCGAUUCGUGCCAACCCAACAGACAGUUUCGGAGAUACCUGUAGUGCACCUUUAUAGCCACCCAGUUACGUUGUGACGUUUGGUACACCCAAAGCAUUCCUAAGGUAUCCGGGAGUUGCACAAUAUCAUGUUCUAAGGAAAUGAUACUUGACAUUAGAAAAGCUUUAGCAUACGAACUACGAUCUUUGUGCUAGGCUUAGGAUUGGGUCUUGUCCAUCACAUCAUUCUCCUAAUGAUGUGAUCCCGUUAUCAACGACAUCCAAUGUCCACGGUCAGGAAACCGUAACCAUCUAUUGAUCAACGAGCUAGUCAACUAGAGGCCUACUAGGGACAUGGUGUUGUCUAUGUACCCACACAUGUAUCUGAGUUUCCUUUCAAUACAAUUAUAGCAUGGAUAAUAAACGAUUAUCAUGAACAAGGAAAUAUAAUAAUAAUAACUAAUUUAUUAUUGCCUCUAGGGCAUAUUUCCAACAGAGGGAGCGUGCGAUGCUUGAUCACAUCAACCUUGGAAACACUUCCAACACAUAUCGUCGGCUCACCUUUAGCUAGUCUCCGUUUAUUCCGUAGCUUUUAUUUCGGGCUACUAACACUUAGUAACCGAACCGGUAUCUAAUACCCUGGUGCUACUAGGAGUACUAGUAAAGUACACAUUAACAUAAUGCAUAUCCAAUAUACUUCUAUCGACCUUGCCAGCCUUCUCAUCUACCAAGUAUCUAGGGUAAUUCUGCUCCAGUGGCUGUUCCCCUGUUUACAGAAGCACUUAGUCUCGGGUUUGGGUUCAACCUUGGGUUUCUUCACUAGAGCAGCAGCUGAUUUGCCGUUUCGUGAAGUAUCCCUUCUUGCCCUUGCCCUUCUUGAAACUAGUGGUUUCACCAACCAUCAACAAUUGAUUCUCCUUCUUGAUUUCUACUUUCGCGGUGUCAAACAUCGCGAAUAUCUCAAGGGUCAUCAUAUCUAUCCCUGAUCUGUUAUAGUUCAUCACGAAGCUCUAGUAGCUUGGUGGCAAUGACUUUGGAGAAACAUCACUAUCUCAUCUGGAAGAUCAACUCCCACUCGAUUGAACUGAAUGUUGUACUCAUCGGAUGUACUAUAACAGUUCGGAUGUACAACAAUCAGUUGAAUCGAGUGGGAGUUGACCUUCCAGAUGAGAUAGUGAUGUUUCUCCAAAGUCAUUGCCACCAAGCUACUAGAGCUUCGUGAUGAACUAUAACAGAUCAGGGAUAGAUAUGAUGAUCCUUGAGAUAUUCACGAUGUUUGACACCGCGAAAGUAGAAAUCAAGAAGGAGCAUCAAUUGUUGAUGGUUGGUGAAACCACUAGUUUCAAGAAGGGCAAGGGCAAGAAGGGAUACUUCACGAAACGGCAAAUCAGCUGCUGCUCUAGUGAAGAAACCCAGGUUGAACCCAAACCCGAGACUAAGUGCUUCUGUAAUAAGGGGAACAGCCACUGGAGCAGAAUUACCCUAGAUACUUGGUAGAUGAGAAGGCUGGCAAGGUCGAUAGAAGUAUAUUGGAUAUGCAUUAUGUUAAUGUGUACUUUACUAGUACUCCUAGUAGCACCAGGGUAUUAGAUACCGGUUCGGGUACUAAGUGUUAGUAGCCCGAAAUAAAAGCUACGGAAUAAACGGAGACUAGCUAAAUGUGAGCCGACAAUAUGUGUUGGAAGUGUUUCCAAGGUUGAUGUGAUCAAGCAUCGCACGCUCCCUCUGUUGGAAAUAUGCCCUAGAGGCAAUAAUAAAUUAGUUAUUAUUAUUAUAUUUCCUAGUUCACGAUAAUCGUUUAUUAUCCAUGCUAUAAUUGUAUUGAUAGGAAACUCAGAUACAUGUGUGGGUACAUAGACAACACCAUGUCCCUAGUAGGCCUCUAGUUGACUAGCUUGUUGAUCAAUAGAUGGUUACGGUUUCCUGACCAUGGACAUUGGGUGUCGUUGAUAACGGGAUCACAUCAUUAGGAGAAUGAUGUGAUGGACAAGACCCAAUCCUAAGCCUAGAACAAAGAUCGUGUAGUUCGAAUGCUAAAGCUUUUCUAAUGUCAAGUAUCGUUUCCUUGGACCAUGAGAUUGUGCAACUCCCGGAUAACGUAGGAAUGAUUUGGGUGUACCAAACGUCACAAUGUAACUGGGUGGCUAUAAAGGUGCACUACAGGUAUCUCCGAAAGUGUCUGUUGGGUUGGCACGAAUCGAGACUGGGAUUUGUCACUCCGUGUAAACGGAGAGGUAUCUCUGGGCCCACUCGGUAGGACAUCAUCAUAAUGUGCACAAUGUGACCAAGGAGUUGAUCACGGGAUGAUGUGUUACGGAACGAGUAAAGAGACUUGCCGGUAACGAGAUUGAACAAGGUAUCGGGAUACCGACGAUCGAAUCUCGGGCAAGUACAAUACCGCUAGACAAAGGGAAUUGUAUACGGGAUUGAUUGAGUCCUUGACAUCGUGGUUCAUCCGAUGAGAUCAUCAUGGAACAUGUGGGAGCCAACAUGGGUAUCCAGAUCCCGCUGUUGGUUAUUGGCCGGAGAACGUCUCGGUCAUGUCUGCAUGGUUCCCGAACCCGUAGGGUCUACACACUUAAGGUUCGAUGACGCUAGGGUUAUAAAGGAAGUUUGUAUGUGGUUACUGAAUGUUGUUCGGAGUCCCGAAUGAGAUCCCAGACGUCACGAGGACUUCCGGAAUGGUCCGGAGGUAAAGAUUUAUAUAUGGAAAGUUGUUGUUCGGGUUCCAGGAAAAGUUCUGUUUUUCCGCAAUUGUACCGGGAAGCUUCCGGAAGGUUCCGGAGGAUUCCGGAGGGGUCCGGAGGUCCGGAAAAUGUUCCACCACGUCCAAUACAGCAGCAUGGGCUGUAAGGGGGUGCCCUAGCUUUAAUGGGACAGGGGCACCAGCCCCCCCAAGGCCCAUGUGCAUGGGAGAGGGGAAACCCUAAGGGGGAGGGCCUCCACUUGACUUGGGAGGCACUCCUCCCCCCCUUGGCCGCCCCCUAGAUGGGAUCUAGGGCUGGCCGCCGCCCCUAGGGGUGGAACCCUAGGUGGGGGCGCAGCCACCCUCUCCCCCUAUAUAUAGUGGAGGCAAAGGGGCAGCCCAACACACAAAGUACUUCUCCUGUUGGCGCAGCCCUACCUCUCUUUCUCCUCAUAUCUCGCGGUGCUUGGCGAAGCCCUCCGGGAUUGCCACGCUCCUCCACCACCACCACGCCGUUGUGCUGCUGUUGGAUGGAGUCUUCCUCAACCUCUCCCUCUCUCCCUGCUGGAUCAAGGCAUGGGAGACGUCAUCGGGCUGUACGUGUGUUGAACGCGGAGGUGCCGUCCGUUCGGCACUAGGAUAUCCGGUGAUUUGGAUCACGACGAGUACGACUCCUUCAACCCCGUUCUCUUGAACGAUUCUGUUUAGCAAUCUACAAGGGUAUGUAGAUGCACUCUCCUUCCCCUCGUUGCUGGUUUCUCCAUAGAUAGAUCUUGGUGACACGUAGGAAAAUUUUGAAUUUCUGCUACGUUCCCCAACACCCUCUACAAUCGAGAUUGGUGUUAAACCUAAAUAAUUGUUAUUUGGUGUUUGCGUUGAGCAUAGACAUGAUUGGAUUAUGUCUAUCACAGUACGGUUACUCAUUUAAGGAGAAUAAUGGUUACUCUAUUUAUUUGAAUGAUACCUUUAAUGGUCUUGCACGUAAAAGAAUGGUUUAUUGAAUCUCGAUCGUAGUGAUACACAUUUUCAUGCCAAAAGAUAUAAGAUAGUAAUGAUAGUACCACUUACUUGUGGCACUGCCAUGUAAGUCAUAUUGGUAUAAAACGCAUGAAGAAGCUCCAUGUUGAUGGAUCUUUGGACUCACUCGUUUUGAAAUGUUUGAGACAUGCGAACCAUGUCUAUUGGUGUAUAUUCAUGAAGAAACUCCAUGCAAAUGGACCGUUUGGACUCACUUGAUUUUGAAUCACUUGAGACAUGCAAAUCGUACCACAUGGGCAAGAUGACUGAAAGCCUCGUUUUUAGUAAAAUGGAACAAUAAAGCAACUUGUUGGAAGUAAUACAUUUUGAUGUGUGCAGUCCAAUGAGUGCUAAGGCACGCAGUGGAUAUCGUUAUGUUCUUACUUCACGCAUGAUUUGAGUAGAUACUGAGUGUAUUUACUUGAUGAACACAAGUCUGAAUUAUUGAAUGGUUCAAGUAAUUUCAGAGUGAAGUUAAAAGAUCCUCGUGACAAGAGGAUAAAAUGUCUAUGAUAUGAUCAUAGAGAUGAGUAUCUGAGUUACGAGCUUUGGUACACUAUUAAGACAUUGUGGAAAUUGUUUCACAACUAAUAUCGCCUGGAACACCAUAGUGUGAUGGUGUGUCCGAACGUCAUAGAUGCACCCUAUUGGACAUGGUGCAUACCAUGAUGUCUCUUAUCAAAUUACCACUAUCGUUCAUGGGUUAGGCAUUAGAGACAACCACAUUCACUUUAAAUAGGGCACCACGUAAUUCGUUGAAAUGACACCGUAUGAACUAUGGUUUAGAGAAACCUAAGCUGUCGUUUCUUGGAAGUUUGGGGCUGCGAUGCUUACGUGAAAAAGGUUUCAGCCUGAUAAGCUCGAACCCAAAGCGGAUAAAUACAUCUUCAUAGGACACCCAAAAAUAGUUGGGUAUACCUCCUAUUUCAGAUCCGGAAGCGAAAGAUUGUUUCUAGAAACGGGUCCUUUCUCGAGGAAAAGUUUCUCUCGGAAGAAUUGAGUGGGAGGAUGGUGAAGACUUGAUAAGGUUAUUGAACCAUCACUUCAACUAGUGUGUAGCAGGGCACAUGAAGUUGUUCCUAUGGCACCUACACCAAUUGAAGUGGAAGUUGAUGAUAAUGAUCAUGAAACUUCGGAUCAAGUCACUACCAAACCUCGUAGGACGACAAGGACAGGUACUGCUUCAGAGUGGUACGUAAUCCUGUCUUGGAAGUCAUGUUGCUAGACAACAAUGAACCUACGAGCUAUGGAGAAGCGAUGGUGGGACCGGAUUCCGACGAAUGGCUCGAGGCCAUAAAAUCCGAGAGAGGAUCCAUGUACGAAAACAAAGUAUGGACUUUGGAAGAAAUACUUGAUGGUCGUAAGGCUGUUGGGUACAGAUGGAUUUUGAAAGGAAGACGGACAAUGAUGGUAAGUGUCACCAUUAAGAAAGCUCGACUUGUCCUUAAGAUAUUUUCCGACAAGUUCAAGGAGUUGACUACGAGGAGACUUUCUCACUCGUAGCGAUGCUAAGAGUCUGUUGAAAUUAUAUUAGUAGUUACUGCAUAAUUUAUGAAAUCUUGCAGAUAGGAUGUCAAAACAUUGUUCCUCGACGAGGAAAGGUUGUAUGUGAUACAACCAAAAGGUUUUGUCAAUCCUGAAAGAUGCUAACAAGUAUGCAAAGCUCCAGCAAUCCUUCUAAGGACUGGAGUAAGAAUCUCGGAGUUGGAAUAUACGCUUUUAUGAGAUGAUCAAAGAUUUUGGGUUUAUACAAAGUUUAUGAGAAACUUGUAUUUCCAAAGAAGUGAGUGGGAGCACUAUAGCAUUUCUGAUGAGUAUAUGUUGUUGACAUAUUGUUGAUCGGAAAUGAUGUAGAAUUUCUGGAAAGCAUAUAGGGUUAUUUGAAAGGUGUUUUUCAAUAGAAAACCUGGAUUAAGCUAUUUGAACAUUGAGCAUCAAGAUCUAUGAGGAUAUAUCAAAACGCUUAAUAGUACUUUCAAAUGAGCACAUACCUUGACAUGCUCUUGAAGGUGUUCAAGAUGGAUCAAUCAAAGAAGGAGUUCUUGCCUGAGUUGUAAGGUAUGAAGUUAAGACUUAAAGCUCGACCACGGCAGAAGAAAGAGAAAGGAUGAAUGUCGUCCCCUAUGCCUUAGCCAUAGGCUCUAUAGAGUAUGUCAUGCUUUGUACUGCACCUGAUGUGUGCCUUGCCACAUGUCUGGCAAGAGGGUACAAAGGUGACCCGGGAGUGGGUCACUAGAUAGCGGUCAAAAAUUAUCCUUAGAGGAAUAAGGAAAUGUUUCUCGGUUAUGGAGGUGAUAAAGAGUUUGACGUAAAGAGUUACGUCGAUGCAAGCUUAACACCUAUCCGGAUAGCUCUGAGUAGAGAUACCAGAUACGUAUAAUGGAGCAAUAAUUUGGAAUAGCUCCAAGUGGAACGUGGUAGCGGCAUCUACGAUAUGACAUAAAGUUUUGCGAAAUACAUAGGGAUCUGAAUAUUGCAGACCCGUUGACUACAACCUCUCUCACAAGCAUAACAUUAUCAAACCCAGAACUCAUUGAGUGUUAAUCACAUAGUGAUGUGAACUAGAUUAUUGAUUCUAGUAAACUCUUUGGAUGUUGGUCACGUGGCGAUGUGACCUGUGAGUGUUAAUCACAUGGCGAUCUAAACUAGAUUAUUGACUCUAGUGCAAGUGGGAGACUGUUGGAAAUAUGCCCUAGAGGCAAUAAUAAAUUAGUUAUUAUUAUUAUAUUUCCUUGUUCAUGAUAAUCAUUUAUUAUCCAUGCUAGAAUUGUAUUGAUUGGAAACUCAGAUACAUGUGUGGAUACAUAGACAACACCAUGUCCCUAGUAAGCCUCUAGUUGACUAGCUCGUUGAUCAAUAGAUGGUUACGGUUUCCUGACCAUGGACAUUGGAUGUUGUUGAUAACCGGAUCACAUCAUUAGGAGAAUGAUGUGAUGGACAAGACCCAAUCCUAAGCCUAGCAUAAAGAUCAUGUAGUUCGUAUGCUAAAGCUUUUCUAAUGUCAAGUAUCAUUUCCUUAGAACAUGAUAUUGUGCAACUCCCGGAUACCGUAGGAAUGCUUUGGGUGUACCAAAUGUCACAACGUAACUCGGUGGCUAUAAAGGUCCACUACGGGUAUCUCCGAAAGUGUCUGUUGGGUUGGCACGAAUUAAGACUAGGAUUUGUCACUCCGUGUGACGGAGAGGUAUCUCUGGGCCCACUCGGUAGGACAUCAUCAUAAUGUGCACAAUGUGACCAAGGAGGUGAUCACAGGAUGAUGUGUUACGGAAUGAGUAAAGAGACUUGCCGGUAACGAGAUUGAACAAGGUAUCGGCAUACCGACGAUCGAAUCUCGGGAAAGUACAAUACCGCUAGACAAAGGGAGUUGAAUACGGGAUUGAUCGAAUCCUCGACAUCGUGGUUCAUCCGAUGAGAUCAUCGUGGAACAUGUGGGAGCCAACAUGGAUAUCCAGAUCCUGCUGUUGGUUAUUGGCCAGAGAGUUGUCUCGGUCAUGUCUGCAUGGUUCCCGAACCCGUAGGGUCUACACACUUCAGGUUCGAUGACGCUAGGGUUAUAAAGGAAGUUUGUAUGUGGUUACCGAAUGUUGUUCGGAGUCCCGGAUGAGAUCUCGGAUGUCACGAGGAGUUCCGGAACGGUCCGGAGGUAAAGAUAUAUAUAUGGGAAGUCAUCAUACGGUCACCGGAAUAAUUUGGGGGUUACCGGUAUUGUACCGGGACCACCGAAGGGGUUCCGGGGGUUCACCGGGAGGGUCCACCUGCCCCGGAGGGCCCUAUGGGCUGUUUGUGGAGAGGGACCAGCCCCUUAGUAGGCUGGGCGCCUUCCCCCUUAGGGCCCAUGCGCCUAGGGUUUGGGGGGAAACCCUAAAGGGGGGCGCCCCCUUGCCUUGGGGGGCAAGGCAACCCCCCUGGCCGCCACCCCCUCCUCAGAUUGGAUCUAAGGGGGCCGCCCCCCCUCUCCCUUGCCCCUAUAUAUAUGUGGGGGGUGGGAGGGCAGCCGCACCCAAGUUCGGGCGCAGCCCUCCCCCUCUCCCAAGUCCUCCUCCUCUCCCGCGGUGCUUGGCGAAGCCCUGCGGGAUUGCCACGCUCCUCCACCACCACCACACCGUUGUGCUGCUACCGGACGGAGUCUUUCGCAACCUCUCCCUCUCUCCUUACUGGAUCAAGGCAUGGGAGACGUCACCGGGCUGUACGUGUGUUGAAUGCGGAGGUGCCGUCGGUUCGGCACUAGGAUCUCCGGUGAUUUGGAUCACGACGACUACGACUCCUUCAACCCCGUUCUCUUGAACGCUUCCGCUCAGCGAUCUACAAGGGUAUGUAGAUGCACUCUCCUUCCCCUGGUUGCUAGAUUACUCCAUAGAUUGAUCUUGGUGAUGCGUAGAAAAUUUUAAAUUUCUGCUACGAUCCCCUACACCCACUGCACCGACCCUGUGGCAAUUGGAAGGCUCGGGGAGCCGAUUGCCGGCGAGCGGAGCGGAAAAUUUGACGGACUUUCAGUAGGAAGGGAGGGGAGGUAACGGUGGAGCCAAGCAGGUAAAUACCUAACGAACUGAAGUCUGAAGCCAAUUUGCUUGGUCUGAAUUCUGAAGUCUGAAGUCUGAACAGUUGCUCAACAACACUGGUUACCAUAGCACAGCAAAGAGCACCUGUAAAAUCAAAGAGCCAAAAUUAAACCAUGGUUGAUGUGGAGAUUGGAUACAUGUGUAGAGAAGAUGCUAAUGGCACCCACUGCACCAACCCUGUGGCAAUUNNNNNNNNNNNNNNNNNNNNNNNNNNNNNNNNNNNNNNNNNNNNNNNNNNNNNNNNNNNNNNNNNNNNNNNNNNNNNNNNNNNNNNNNNNNNNNNNNNNNNNNNNNNNNNNNNNNNNNNNNNNNNNNNNNNNNNNNNNNNNNNNNNNNNNNNNNNNNNNNNNNNNNNNNNNNNNNNNNNNNNNNNNNNNNNNNNNNNNNNNNNNNNNNNNNNNNNNNNNNNNNNNNNNNNNNNNNNNNNNNNNNNNNNNNNNNNNNNNNNNNNNNNNNNNNNNNNNNNNNNNNNNNNNNNNNNNNNNNNNNNNNNNNNNNNNNNNNNNNNNNNNNNNNNNNNNNNNNNNNNNNNNNNNNNNNNNNNNNNNNNNNNNNNNNNNNNNNNNNNNNNNNNNNNNNNNNNNNNNNNNNNNNNNNNNNNNNNNNNNNNNNNNNNNNNNNNNNNNNNNNNNNNNNNNNNNNNNNNNNNNNNNNNNNNNNNNNNNNNNNNNNNNNNNNNNNNNNNNNNNNNNNNNNNNNNNNNNNNNNNNNNNNNNNNNNNNNNNNNNNNNNNNNNNNNNNNNNNNNNNNNNNNNNNNNNNNNNNNNNNNNNNNNNNNNNNNNNNNNNNNNNNNNNNNNNNNNNNNNNNNNNNNNNNNNNNNNNNNNNNNNNNNNNNNNNNNNNNNNNNNNNNNNNNNNNNNNNNNNNNNNNNNNNNNNNNNNNNNNNNNNNNNNNNNNNNNNNNNNNNNNNNNNNNNNNNNNNNNNNNNNNNNNNNNNNNNNNNNNNNNNNNNNNNNNNNNNNNNNNNNNNNNNNNNNNNNNNNNNNNNNNNNNNNNNNNNNNNNNNNNNNNNNNNNNNNNNNNNNNNNNNNNNNNNNNNNNNNNNNNNNNNNNNNNNNNNNNNNNNNNNNNNNNNNNNNNNNNNNNNNNNNNNNNNNNNNNNNNNNNNNNNNNNNNNNNNNNNNNNNNNNNNNNNNNNNNNNNNNNNNNNNNNNNNNNNNNNNNNNNNNNNNNNNNNNNNNNNNNNNNNNNNNNNNNNNNNNNNNNNNAUGGUUGAUGUGGGGAUUGGAUACAUGUGUAACAGAGAAGAUGCUAAUGGCAUCCACUGCACCGACCCUGUGACAAUUGGCAGGCUCAGGGAGCCGAUUGCCGGUGCGGAGCGGAAAAUUUGCCGGACUUUCAGUAGGAAGGGAGGGGAAGGUAACGGUGGAGCCAAGCAGGUAAAUACCUCACGAACUGAAGUCUGAAGCCAAUUUGCUUGGUCUGAACACUGAAGUCUGAAGUCUAAACAGUUGCUCAACUUCACUGUUUACCACAGCACAGCAAAGAGCACCUGUAAAAUCAAAAGAGCCAAAAUUAAACCACUGUUGACAGGGAUGUGAGGAUAGGAUACUUGUGGAAUAGAGAAGACGCUAAUGGUAUCCACUGCAUCGACCCUGUGGCAACCGGCAGGCCCGGAGAGCCGGCAAAAUUUGCCGGACUUCGAGUAGGAGGGGAGGGGAAGGUAACUGUUGAGCCAAGCAGGAAAUAC